rnacentral:rRNA from 1 species
UACGGAAGGCAACAGUGGGGAAUAUUGCACAAUGGGCGCAAGCCUGAUGCAGCCAUGCCGCGUGUAUGAAGAAGGCCUUCGGGUUGUAAAGUACUUUCAGUCGUGAGGAAGGUGUUAAGGUUAAUAACCUUAGCAAUUGACGUUAGCGACAGAAGAAGCACCGGCUAACUCCGUGCCAGCAGCCGCGGUAAUACGGAGGGUGCGAGCGUUAAUCGGAAUUACUGGGCGUAAAGGGCACGCAGGCGGUUAAUUAAGUUGGAUGUGAAAUCCCCGGGCUUAACCUGGGAAUGGCAUUCAAGACUGGUUAGCUAGAGUCUUGUAGAGGGGGUAGAAUUCCAUGUGUAGCGGUGAAAUGCGUAGAGAUGUGGAGGAAUACCGGUGGCGAAGGCGGCCCCUGGACAAAGACUGACGCUCAUGUGCGAAAGCGUGGGGAGCAAACGAGGGAUUAGAUACCCGU